rnacentral:tRNA from 1 species
GACCCACUAGCUCAGUCGGCAGAGCACUUCACUUUUAAUGAAGGUGUCCGGAGUUCGAUUCUCCGGUGGGUCAC